rnacentral:rRNA from 1 species
UGGGGAAUAUUGCGCAAUGGGCGAAAGCCUGAUGCAGCGACGCCGCGUGAGGGAUGAAGGUUUUCGGAUCGUAAACCUCUGUCAGAAGGGAAGAAACCGCACUGUGCUAACCAGCAGUGCCUUGACGGUACCUUCAAAGGAAGCACCGGCUAACUCCGUGCCAGCAGCCGCGGAUAUACGGAGGGUGCAAGCGUUAAUCGGCAUUACUGGGCGUAAAGCGCAGGUAGGCUGCUUUGUAAGUCAGGGGUGAAAUCCCACGGCUCAACCGUGGAACUGCCUUUGAUACUGCUUAGCUUGAAUCCGGGAGAGGGUGGCGGAAUUCCAGGUGUAGGAGUGAAAUCCGUAGAUAUCUGGAGGAACAUCAGUGGCGAAGGCGGCCACCUGGACCGGUAUUGACGCUGAGGUGCGAAAGCGUGGGGAGCAAACAGG